rnacentral:lncRNA from 1 species
GAAUGAGCAGGUUGUAGGUCAAAUGCCAUGGAUUCUUGAUUCUUAUCAAGAUUUAUUAAAUUUCUCUUGAAUAAAUGUUUCUCAAUUUGCUAUGAGCCAUAGGAAAACUUUCAGGCUUUAAAAUUUAAACCCAUUGGAUAAAAUGGAAUUCAUUCUCCCUCCCUCCUUCCUUAACUUCCUCCCUUCUUGCCAGAAUUCCUUCUUUUCCCACUAACUUCCUUUCUUCUUUCUUUCCUUUUUUUCUUUCUUCCUCCAACACAUGUUUGUUAGGGCCUCUAGCUCUACAUAGCCAUAUUAAACUUUUUGGAGAAAUAACUUGCGAAGACUGGAGAUCUAAGAACUCUGAAUGUGGGAACUGAAUGCCAGAUCUUGGAUUCUCAGUGGGAAGUGUGGCCUGGAGAAGAAGUUUACAAUGUUACAUGUUUCUGAGGACCCUUCAUACUUCAAGCUCAAGUCCAGACACUCCAUAGGAACCACAUGGCAGCCAUGAUCUAGUUUAAAGAACACCAGGGGCGCCUGGGUGGCACAGUCGGUUAAGCGUCCGACUUCAGCCAGGUCACGAUCUCACGGUCCGUGAGUUCGAGCCCCGCGUCAGGCUCUGGGCUGAUGGCUCAGAGCCUGGAGCCUGUUUCCGAUUCCGUGUCUCCCUCUCUCUCUGCCCCUCCCCCGUUCAUGCUCUGUCUCUCUCUGUCCCAAAAAUAAAUAAACGUUGAAAAAAAAAAAAUUAAAGAAC